GCAGUUUUAGAAUUACUUGGGACUCCUUCUAUAUAGUAGCAAUGCUUGAACACGAUGUUCAAGCAAGUUGCCACUGAGCCAUGGAUGGCGAAUUGGCAACGGUUGCGCAUAUUGUCAUUAUAUAGAUUAGGAGUGCCUAGUAAUUCUUAACUGC
rnacentral:ncRNA from 1 species